rnacentral:tRNA from 1 species
GGGGUUGUAGUCAACUAUGAUAUUUGAUUUGCAUUCAAGUGGUGUUCUUCCUAGGACCAUCCUCA